GGGUUCUACCGUUGGUCGGGCUUUGUCUGUACUGGCGUGUAGAAUUUCUACCUUCUGGGGAACCAUUAUGUUAUUAAUUUAGCGUAGUGGGAAACCAGGACCUUUACCUUGAAAAAAUUAGAGUGUUCAAAGCAGGCUUAUGUCUGAAUACAUUAGCAUGGAAUAAUAGAAUAGGACGGUGGUCCUGUUUUGUUGGUUUCUGAAUCACCGUA
rnacentral:rRNA from 1 species